rnacentral:lncRNA from 1 species
CAGGAUCGUGGUGUAUAGGUGCCGAAGUCUGAACUGGUGGUGGCGAAGAUUUAACCUGCAAGUCCUGAAAGCCAAAUGCAGAACAAGAACAAUAAGACGAUUAAGGCACUAAUACCAAUAAUAGGCAUAUACAAUUUGCGCAUUGAGUUAUCAAUGAAGGUGUAAAACAAUGUAUGUGCGGUUGUAAGACAGACGGAACCAGGUGCAAAACAAUUUAUGUGCAGGAGAGAAAGAGGAAAACCUUACCGAUUUACCCUAGCGACGGCAGAGGAGUGUGACGGUAGAGGAUUGUGACGGUCGACGAGCGAUAGCAGAAGGGUCGGUCUACGACAAUGUAGCAGAGGAAGGUUGGAGCGCAGCAGACUAGGGUUCUAGAUUUGGGGGAAUUUUGGGGAAAAAUUAG